rnacentral:rRNA from 1 species
GACCUCAAAUCAGGUAGGACUACCCGCUGAACUUAAGCAUAUCAAUAAGCGGAGGAAAAGAAACUAACAAGGAUUCCCCUAGUAACUGCGAGUGAAGCGGGAAAAGCUCAAAUUUAAAAUCUGGUAGUCUUUGGCUGCCCGAGUUGUAAUCUAGAGAAGCGUUAUCCGCGCUGGACCGUGUAUAAGUCUCCUGGAAUGGAGCGUCAUAGAGGGUGAGAAUCCCGUCUUCGACACGGACUCCCAGGGCUUUGUGAUGCGCUCUCAAAGAGUCGAGUUGUUUGGGAAUGCAGCUCUAAAUGGGUGGUAAAUUCCAUCUAAAGCUAAAUAUUGGCGAGAGACCGAUAGCGAACAAGUACCGUGAGGGAAAGAUGAAAAGAACUUUGGAAAGAGAGUUAAACAGUACGUGAAAUUGUUGAAAGGGAAACGC